rnacentral:rRNA from 1 species
UACGUAGGGUGCGAGCGUUGUCCGGAAUUAUUGGGCGUAAAGAGCUUGUGGGUGGUUUGUCGCGUCUGCUGUGAAAAUCCGAGGCUCAACCUCGGACUUGCAGUGGGUACGGGCAGACUAGAGUGUGGUAGGGGAGACUGGAAUUCCUGGUGUAGCGGUGGAAUGCGCAGAUAUCAAGAGGAACACCUGCGGCGAAGGCGGGUUGCUGGGCCGACACUGACACUGAGGCGCGAAAGCUAGGGGAGCGAACGGG